rnacentral:rRNA from 1 species
UGGCGACCGGCGCACGGGUGCGUAACGCGUAUCAAACCUGCCUCAUACUCGGGGAUAGCCUUGCGAAAGUAAGAUUAAUACCCGAUGUUGUUAUGUUACCGCAUGGUGAUAUAACCAAAGAUUUAUCGGUAUGAGAUGGUGAUGCGUCCGAUUAGGUAGUAGGCGGGGUAACGGCCCACCUAGCCUUCGAUCGGUAGGGGUUCUGAGAGGAAGGUCCCCCACACUGGAACUGAGACACGGUCCAG